rnacentral:rRNA from 1 species
UGGGGAAUAUUGCACAAUGGGCGAAAGCCUGAUGCAGCAACGCCGCGUGAGUGAUGAAGGUCUUCGGAUUGNAGAGCUCUGUCUUUUGGGACGAUAAUGACGGNACCAAAGGAGGAAGCCACGGCUAACUACGUGCCAGCAGCCGCGGUAAUACGUAGGUGGCGAGCGUUGUCCGGAUUUACUGGGCGUAAAGGGUGCGUAGGCGGAUGUUUAA